rnacentral:misc_RNA from 1 species
UAGCUGUCUCUGUCUGGAACUUGUU